AUCACCUGGGGAAUCUUAUUAAAAUGCAGAUUCUCAUUCAGUAGGUCUGAGAUGGGCCAAAGAAUUUGCAUUUCUAACAAGCUCCCAGGUGACGCCCA
rnacentral:pre_miRNA from 1 species